UGGGGAAUAUUGCACAAUGGGCGCAAGCCUGAUGCAGCCAUGCCGCGUGUGUGAAGAAGGCCUUCGGGUUGUAAAGCACUUUCAGCGAGGAGGAAGGUGGUGGACUUAAUACGUUCAUCAAUUGACGUUACUCGCAGAAGAAGCACCGGCUAACUCCGUGCCAGCAGCCGCGGUAAUACGGAGGGUGCAAGCGUUAAUCGGAAUUACUGGGCGUAAAGCGCACGCAGGCGGUUUGUUAAGUCAGAUGUGAAAUCCCCGGGCUCAACCUGGGAACUGCAUUUGAAACUGGCAAGCUAGAGUCUCGUAGAGGGGGGUAGAAUUCCAGGUGUAGCGGUGAAAUGCGUAGAGAUCUGGAGGAAUACCGGUGGCGAAGGCGGCCCCCUGGACGAAGACUGACGCUCAGGUGCGAAAGCGUGGGGAGCAAACAGGAUUAGAUACCCCUGGUAGUCCACGCUGUAAACGAUGUCGAUUUUGGAGGUUGUGCCCCUUGAGGCGUGGCUUCCGGAGCUAACGCGUUAAAUCGACCGCCUGGGGAGUAC
rnacentral:rRNA from 1 species